rnacentral:lncRNA from 1 species
UUUAAUUGGGGGGUUAGUAAUGAUUACCUUUUCCCCACCUCUUUUACGUGUCUGUUUGUGCAUUACGAACCAGUAGAAACAUAGGAAAACCUGACACAGCGGCUGCAUGGCCAGGAAGAUCAAAAGAAAAGAUAUUGGGUUGCAUGCGAAAAGUUUUUCGUUCAUGUUUAAGCCGUUACACCUGCAUUUAUUUUGUUUCGUUCAUGUUUAAGCCGUUAGUUUUGGUAUUUAAUAUGUAAUCAUCACCAUGUUCUUCUAUCAGCAUUAAUUUGGUUUCAUUCUUGUCUCGCUCUUCUUUCAUCCGUACAUGCUGGAAUUAACUUUUACAAACAUCAUUGAUCACUCAACAAAAAAACGGCGAUUUGUGUGCAAUUGAUAACAUAUCUUGUGUUAAAAUAUCGAUGCAUGCAAUUUAUUCUUUGUAGGUAUAUCGAUGCAUGCAAUUUAUUCUUUGUAAAUUGAUAACAUAUCUUGUGUUAAAAUAUCGUUGCAUGCAAUUUAUUCUUUGUAAAUAUAUUGUGUGUUUUAAUCUCAGAUGGUUCGAUGUAUACGGUUUUGGCGAGGACAAUGGAAGAAAAGUGGAGAAGAAGAGCGGGAGUUCAUGAUCCAUCCAGAAGAAAUAGGCUAUAGGGUGGUCAUCUAUGAAACUGUGAGCUAUGAUACGCUUGACCAGAUUAUAAGACAGCGCUACCGUCUCAGCCAUCAAGAACCUCUUUUUCGUAUGGAUAUGUUGGAUGUUUCUAUUUGCAUUUGUGUUGGUUUGCUAAUAUUUUGAUUAUCAUGGAAGGGUUGUUUGUUGGCAAGUUUUAGAAUGAUGUAACAUUUUCUCUAUCGGGGUUGUUCAAGUUUUUUCAAGGUCUAGACAGCUAACCUAAAGUUUAUCUAAUGUAUCAAACCAGUUAGUUUGUAUUACUUAUAAUGUUUUGCGCACUGCUGUUUGAUUAUGCUAUGUUGUGCGAUGCAAUUACUCUUUUUCAUAUGGAUAUGUCGGAUGUUUCUAUUUGCAUUUGUGUUGGUUUGCUAAUAUUUUGAUUAUCAUCAGAGGGUUGUUUUUUUGCAAGUUUUAGAAUGAUGUAACAUUUUCUCUAUCGGGGUUGUUCAAGUUUUUCCAAGGUCUAGACGGCUAACCUAAAGUUUAUCUAAUGUAUCAAACCAGUCAGUUUGUAUCAACUAUAAUGUUUCGCGCACUGCUGUUUGAUUAUGCUAUGUUGUGCGAUGCAAUUACUCUUUUUUGUAUGGAUAUGUCGGAUGUUUCUAUUUGCAUUUAUGUUGGUUUGCUAAUAUUUUGAUUAUCAUUGGGGGGUUGUUUUUUUGGCAAGUUUUAGAAUGAUGUAACAUUUUCUCUAUCGGGGUUGUUCAAAUUUUUUCAAGGUCUAGACGGCUAACCUAAAGUUUAUCUAAUGUAUCAAACCAAUCAGUUUGUAUCAACUAUAAUGUUUUGCG